rnacentral:rRNA from 1 species
CAGUAGCCGCGGUAAUACAGAGGGUGCGAGCGUUAAUCGGAUUUACUGGGCGUAAAGCGUGCGUAGGCGGCUUCUUAAGUCGGAUGUGAAAUCCCUGAGCUUAACUUAGGUAUUGCAUUCGAUACUGGGAAGCUAGAGUAUGGGAGAGGAUGGUAGAAUUCCAGGUGUAGCGGUGAAAUGCGUAGAGAUCUGGAGGAAUACCGAUGGCGAAGGCAGCCAUCUGGCCUAAUACUGACGCUGAGGUACGAAAGCAUGGGGAGCAAACAGGAUUAGAUACCCCCGUAGUCCCUGUCUCUUAUAC